GACGUAGGUGGCGAACGUUAUCCGGAAUUAUUGGGCGUAAAGGGUGCGUAGGCGGCAUGAUAAGUUAUUGGCGGCAAAUCGAGGCUCAACCUCGUGGAAACUGAUAAUACUGUCUUGCUUGAGUGCAGAAGAGGUUAACGGAACUCCAUGUGGAGCGGUAAAAUGUGUAGAUAUAUGGAGGAACAUCAAUAACGGCGAAGGCAGUUAACUAUUCUGUUACUGACGUUGAGGCACGAAAGCGUGGGGAGCAAAAAGG
rnacentral:rRNA from 1 species